UUCUCCACCAUUCCCUCUGCUCCAGGCCCUUCCAUGGCAAGAGGCUAUGGGCUGGUUGCCCCAUACCACUGUCUCCCUCAGCCUUGUGCUCCAUGGCAAACCCAAUCCUACAAACCCCUUCAGUGAGCAGAGGCACAGGGUGUUGCUGACCCACAUAGAGGGUUUGCUGUUUGUAAGACCAUAAUUGCACACAUCCCUGAAGGGCCAUGGUGCUUUUUGGAUAAUAUUUCAUGAUAGCAAAUGAAGGAGCCCAAAGCAGAGAAGUGCCAAGCACUUUGGCCUGGCAGGGAGCAGGCCAAGGCUCCACGUGGGACCUUUCCUUGCAAUGGGGCUGUAGGAAGGCAGAAGAGAUUCAGCUUUCUCCCCCAACAAACCUUUACCCUCCGACCCAAAACUUUAGUUCUUCUGGCUCCAAGGAGAAAUUGGUACCUGACUCCUCUCCAUCGUCUCACAUUUGCUCCCAGUUAUUUUAUUCUAGUUUCUGAGAGGGAAAAGGAAUGUCACUACAUUUUGUUUCUGGUCUGAAAAGAAGCCCCAAAGGGAGCUGAAGGCAGGGCCAGGUAGACCCAGAGCCAGCUUCCCAGCUGUGGCCCACACUCCCCUGCCCCAGGCUCUCCUCCAUGACUCAGCUCCCAGGGACCAGCCCAGCCCUUUGUCAAUUUAUCUUCACAGCCCCUCCUCACCCAGGGCAACCCUGCACACAGGAGGCUUUUCCAAAGGAGAACCCAGUACACAUCACGUAGUUACUUCUCCAAGAGAAGUAUUUUGGAAACUUGAGCUAGGCAUCUCUUUGUUUUUAUGAUCUGAAUUCUCCAAGCCUCUCCUGUAGACAGGACAGUCAUGGCACUGGUGGAGCUGGAGGGCUUCAUUAGAAGUAAUUUCUGGGUUUUCUUAGCCGGUGGAUGCAUAAAGGAAGGAGGGAGAGGAACCCUACUGUACCUGGAAAGAGGCUUCUCUUGGCAGCCAAAGCUAAGUGUCAAAGCUUAGCUAUGGAGCAAAGGGUCGUGAGUAAGUGCAGGCAAUCCAUGGCAGCAGGAGUGGGUCACUGUCAGGAUCUCCUGUGUGUUUUCAUCCCAGCUAAGCAGUGUUUAAAUGAACUGGAUCUCACACCAGUCUUUAUGUGCCUCUGUGGAGGCAACUACAGGAGCACCACCACUUUUCCACCUGUCUCCACAAACAGGUCUUCAGAAUUCCUUCUCAGCUGAGAUCUGAACCAGAUUGUGCCCCAGGGCACCCACACUUCUUCAAGGAGUGUUACUCAGUUUUCUGGCACAGCCUUAAACAUGUAAAUUUUAAUCUGUCAGUGACCUAUUAGGCAGGAUCCCUGUCCUAAGCAGCUGCAUUUUUAUCUCAUUACAAAGCAUUUCAGGAAGCAUGAAUCUAGCCCAGGUCUCAGACAACCUGCCUGGAAGAACUCCUGCUGGGCCAUUCCAUAGUGCUGGGAUGCUCACCAAGGAGUCCUCCACGACCACGUGGACUGAAAGCCACUGCUAGCAUGCAUGACAGGGUCACUUCUGCUCUUCUCUUCUGCUUUAACACAUGGGGGCAAUUCAUCACUUUCUCCUGACAACGUGCUUCUGGAGGCACAGAUUAGAGGUCCGGAUCCAAAUGAGAGAAAUGUGGGCAUUUCCCUUCAAAGAUCAUUAAACUGAUCCCUAUCCAGCACUGUCUGUGCCUCUGCACAAACCUCAUA